GACGUAGGGCGCGAGCGUUGUCCGGAUUUAUUGGGCGUAAAGAGCUCGUAGGCGGCUUGUCGCGUCGACUGUGAAAACCCGCGGCUCAACUGCGGGCCUGCAGCCGAUACGGACAGGCUAGAGUUCGGUAGGGGAGACUGGAAUUCCUGGUGUAGCGGUGAAAUGCGUAGAUAUCGGGAGGAACACCUGUGGCGAAGGCGGCCCCCUGGUUGGAUACUGACGCUGAGACGCGAAAGCGUGGGGAGCAAACAGG
rnacentral:rRNA from 1 species